AGCAUCACAGACAGGCUCUUCAAUACAUGGCCUUGCAUGCAAGGAGGUUGGAGGAGAACAGUCUGGCCCAUAUUAUCUACAGGGGCUGGGAUCACGCCUUCUCCAAGACAUGAUUUCAGUAACUGUCAACUUGAUGAAUCAACUGAGGUCAACUGGAGUCUUUGUUGGCACUAAGAUUGGGACUCUGACAUGGAAUAAUUGUACCACGCCCACCCUGGCAGAGACAUUAGAGACCUCAGUUAGAGGUAAUCUCCCCUCCUCUGCUCUGAUUGUGUGUGGAUGUGCUUUUACUGAAAUAAUCAAUCAAUAAACAAGCAAUGUAUGUAUGCAUGC
rnacentral:lncRNA from 1 species